GGCCCCGUCGUCUAGCGGCCUAGGACACUGCCCUCUCAAGGCAGCGGCGCCGGUUCGAAUCCGGUCGGGGCUAC
rnacentral:tRNA from 3 species